UACGGAGGGGACUAGCGUGGUUCGGAAUUACUGGGCGUAAAGCGAGCGUAGGCGGCCUCUUAAGUCAGAGGUGAAAUCCCGGGGCUCAACCCCGGAACUGCCCUUGAUACUGGUAGUCCGGAGUUCUGGAGAGGUGAGUGGAAUUCCGAGUGUAGAGGUGAAAGUCGUAGAUAUUCGGGGGAACACCAGUGGCGAAGGCGGCUCACUGGCCAGAUACUGACGCUGAGGUGCGAAAGUGUGGGGAGCAAACAGG
rnacentral:misc_RNA from 1 species